rnacentral:rRNA from 1 species
GACGAACGCUGGCGGCGUGCCUAAUACAUGCAAGUCGAACGCAUUUUCUUUCACCGUAGCUUGCUACACCGAAAGAAAAUGAGUGGCGAACGGGUGAGUAACACGUGGGUAACCUGCCCAUCAGCGGGGGAUAACACUUGGAAACAGGUGCUAAUACCGCAUAAUUCCAUUUACUGCAUGGUAGAUGGAUGAAAGGCGCUUUUGCGUCACUGAUGGAUGGACCCGCGGUGCAUUAGCUAGUUGGUGGGGUAACGGCCUACCAAGGCUGCGAUGCAUAGCCGACCUGAGAGGGUGAUCGGCCACACUGGGACUGAGACACGGCCCAGACGCCUACGGGAGGCAGCAGUAGGGAAUCUUCGGCAAUGGACGCAAGUCUGACCGAGCAACGCCGCGUGAGUGAAGAAGGGUUUCGGAUCGUAAAACUCUGUUGUUAGAAAAGAACAAGGAUGAGAGUGGAAAGUUCAUCCCUUGACGGUAUCUAACCAGAAAGCCACGGCUAACUACGUG